AUUGAACGCUGGCGGCAGGCUUAACACAUGCAAGUCGAGCGGAGUGAUGAUGCUUGCACUAUCACUUAGCGGCGGACGGGUGAGUAAUGCUUAGGAAUCUGCCUAUUAGUGGGGGACAACAUCUCGAAAGGGAUGCUAAUACCGCAUACGUCCUACGGGGGAAAGCAGGGGAUCACUUGUGACCUUGCGCUAAUAGAUGAGCCUAAGUCGGAUUAGCUAGUUGGUGGGGUAAAGGCCUACCAAGGCGACGAUCUGUAGCGGGUCUGAGAGGAUGAUCCGCCACACUGGGACUGAGACACGGCCCAGACUCCUACGGGAGGCAGCAGUGGGGAAUAUUGGACAAUGGGGGGAACCCUGAUCCAGCCAUGCCGCGUGUGUGAAGAAGGCCUUAUGGUUGUAAAGCACUUUAAGCGAGGAGGAGGCUCUUUUGGUUAAUACCCAAGAUGAGUGGACGUUACUCGCAGAAUAAGCACCGGCUAACUCUGUGCCAGCCGCCGCCGUAACAC
rnacentral:rRNA from 1 species